UGACACAGUGGAACUGUCUAUAAAAACCUAUGAGUUUUACUUAGAGGCUGCUGGUUCUCUUUGGAGACGGGCUGCUCUCUGUUGUUGUGUGCACUCUUCAAUAAAGAGCUUUGUGUUCGGACCUUGCUGGUGUUGCCUGUCUCUCUCCGGUCAGACAACGAACCGUGCCGUCUGGGGGUUCGAGUCCUCGACAACUAUAAGCUCUAAAGAUGUGACAGCCUCUGAGCACAGUCUACCUCCUACUGUCCACAUGGUUGGAAAGCACCACCAUAACAAUCGGCAGCUUCACUGCCAGCCCCAGUGUUGGAUCAUAUUAAAGAAGUUCUGUAUUAAAAUCACAAAUGAGUUUGAUUCCCCAGAGUUUAAAUUCCAGGGUAUUACUAAUUAAGAGGUCUCUGGUUUUUUGGUACUGUUUCUCUCCCUCUAUGUGUGAAACUUGCAAGCUGCUAAUUGCGUUAGUACGUUCUAAGACAGAGUCUGUUCUCAAAGCAAUUCACACAGAGAGAGACUCAAAGCAAUACUCUGUAACAACAGAAACAGCACCCAGAGACUCCCCGCCCUUUUGUUGUAUUAACAAUUGUGAUUAAAAUAGAGAUGGAGGAUGUAUGUGGAUGGAUGCUUGGUGUGGAUAAUAACUGAAUGAUCAGGGAGGUGCCAGCCUAAGAAUCCAGUGUCCAUCGGCUGAAGAAGGCGUCAAGUGGAAAUAAACAGAGGACCCCCGGAGGGCAGACUGGAAUCCACCCAACAGCCUCAAGAAUGGGAGAACCAAAGAACAAGAUAACAUCUGGCAGCACGGAGCUGUCAGGAAUGUGCUAUCUGCUGAUUGAUUCAGCAACAGCAUGAUGAAGCAAUUCCCAUAGACUGGCAUAGGAAGAAAUUCCUAUAAAAAUGGACUCUGGAAAGUGAGAACUUUGGGGUCUGAUUCUGCAAACCAACUUCCAGGAGCAUCAGAUGAGCAUCUGACAAGGCCCUGCUCCCUCCUCAUGUCCAGGCCACCUGGCCAGUGGCUUGGCAUGAGCAACUCUGAGGCUGGUAACUAUGAUAACAACCUUGCAGAACCUGUGUGUGUGUGUUUGUAUGAAUGAAUGUGUGAAUAAAUAUGAGAUUGAAUGGAAUGUUAUAGCUAUAACUAACUGCUUACUAUGAUUCUUUCUGUAUUCACAAUAAAUGUGGUAUUUUGCCUUUUCCUCUUUAAUAAGA